CGUUAUCCGGAAUUAUUGGGCGUAAAGCGUCCGUAGGCGGCUGUUCAAGUCUGCUGUUUCCGGCCAGGGCUCAACUCUGGAUAGGCAGUGGAAACUGAGCAGCUAGAGUUCGGUAGGGGUAGAGGGAAUUCCCAGUGUAGCGGUGAAAUGCGUAGAUAUUGGGAAGAACACCAGUGGCGAAGGCGCUCUACUGGGCCGAGACUGA
rnacentral:rRNA from 1 species